rnacentral:rRNA from 1 species
UGGGGAAUUUUGGACAAUGGGCGAAAGCCUGAUCCAGCAAUGCCGCGUGUGUGAAGAAGGCCUUCGGGUUGUAAAGCACUUUUGUCCGGAAAGAAAUCCUUGGCUCUAAUACAGUCGGGGGAUGACGGUACCGGAAGAAUAAGCACCGGCUAACUACGUGCCAGCAGCCGCGGUAAUACGUAGGGUGCAAGCGUUAAUCGGAAUUACUGGGCGUAAAGCGUGCGCAGGCGGUUUGCUAAGACCGAUGUGAAAUCCCCGGGCUCAACCUGGGAACUGCAUUGGUGACUGGCAGGCUAGAGUAUGGCAGAGGGGGGUAGAAUUCCACGUGUAGCAGUGAAAUGCGUAGAGAUGUGGAGGAAUACCGAUGGCGAAGGCAGCCCCCUGGGCCAAUACUGACGCUCAUGCACGAAAGCGUGGGGGACGCAAACAGGAUUAGAUACCCUGGUAGUCCACGCCCUAAACGAUGUCAACUAGUUGUUGGGGAUUCAUUUCCUAGUAACGUAGCUACGCGUGAAGUUGACCGCCUGGGGAGUACGGUCG